CAGGCCUAACACAUGCAAGUCGAGCGGAUGACGGGAGCUUGCUCCUUGAUUCAGCGGCGGACGGGUGAGUAAUGCCUAGGAAUCUGCCUGGUAGUGGGGGACAACGUUUCGAAAGGAACGCUAAUACCGCAUACGUCCUACGGGAGAAAGCAGGGGACCUUCGGGCCUUGCGCUAUCAGAUGAGCCUAGGUCGGAUUAGCUAGUAGGUGGGGUAAUGGCUCACCUAGGCGACGAUCCCUAGCUGGUCUGAGAGGAUGACCAGCCACACUGGAACUGAGACACGGUCCAGACUCCUACGGGAGGCAGCAGUGGGGAAUAUUGCACAAUGGGCGCAAGCCUGAUGCAGCCAUGCCGCGUGUAUGAAGAAGGCCUUCGGGUUGUAAAGUACUUUCAGCGGGGAGGAAGGCGGUGGAGUUAAUAACUUCACCGAUUGACGUUACCCGCAGAAGAAGCACCGGCUAACUCCGUGCCAGCAGCCGCGGUAAU
rnacentral:rRNA from 1 species